GACGAACCGAGCGAACGUUGUUCGGAAUCACUGGGCUUAAAGGGCGCGUAGGCGGGCUGUCAAGCCUGGGGUGAAAUCCCACGGCUCAACCGUGGAACUGCCUCCGAUACUGACGGCCUCGAGGGAGGUAGGGGCGAGCGGAACGGGUGGUGGAGCGGUGAAACGCGUUGAUAUCACUCGGAACUCCGGUGGCGAAAGCGGCUCGCUGGACCUUUUCUGACGCUUGGGCGCGAAAGCUAGGGGAGCAAGCGGG
rnacentral:rRNA from 1 species